UACGUAGGGAGCAAGCGUUGUUCGGAUUUACUGGGCGUAAAGGGCGCGUAGGCGGCGCUGUAAGUCACUUGUGAAAUCUCUGAGCUUAACUCAGAACGGCCAAGUGAUACUGCAGUGCUGGAGUGCAGAAGGGGCAAUCGGAAUUCUUGGUGUAGCGGUGAAAUGCGUAGAUAUCAAGAGGAACACCUGAGGUGAAGACGGGUUGCUGGGCUGACACUGACGCUGAGGCGCGAAAGCCAGGGGAGCAAACGGG
rnacentral:rRNA from 1 species